GACGAACGCUGGCGGCGUGCUUAUCACAUGCAAGUCGAACGGAAAGGCCCUGCUUUUGUGGGGUGCUCGAGUGGCGAACGGGUGAGUAACACGUGAGUAACCUGCCCUUGACUUUGGGAUAACUUCAGGAAACUGGGGCUAAUACCGGAUAGGAGCUCCUGCUGCAUGGGUGGGGUUGGAAAGUUUCGGCGGUUGGGGAUGGACUCGCGGCUUAUCAGCUUGUUGGUGGGGUAGUGGCUUACCAAGGCUUUGACGGGUAGCCGGCCUGAGAGGGUGACCGGCCACAUUGGGACUGAGAUACGGCCCAGACUCCUACGGGAGGCAGCAGUGGGGAAUAUUGCACAAUGGGCGGAAGCCUGAUGCAGCAACGCCGCGUGCGGGAUGACGGCCUUCGGGUUGUAAACCGCUUUCGCCUGUGACGAAGCGUGAGUGACGGUAAUGGGUAAAGAAGCACCGGCUAACUACGUGCCAGCCGCCGCGGUAAGAC
rnacentral:rRNA from 1 species